rnacentral:rRNA from 1 species
AGUUGUAUCCUGGCUCAGGAUGAACGCUGGCGGUAUGCUUAACACAUGCAAGUCGAACGAAAGUUUUUAACUUUAGUGGCGAACGGGUGCGUAAUACGUGAGAAUCUGCCCUUAGGAGAAGAAUAACUGCUGGAAACGGCUGCUAAAUCUUCAUAUAUCGAGAGAUGAAAUAGCUUAGGCUGCCUAAGGAUGAGCUCACGCCUGAUUAGCUAGUUGGUGAGGUAAUGGCUCACCAAGGCCACGAUCAGUAGCUGGUUUGAGAGAACGAUCAGCCACACUGGGACUGAGACACGGCCCAGACUCCUCCGGGAGGCAGCAGUGAGGAAUUUUCCGCAAUGGGCGAAAGCCUGACGGAGCAAUACCGCGUGAGGGAUGAAGGAUUUUGGUCUGUAAACCUCUUUUCUCAAGAAAGAAGUUCUGACGGUACUUGAGGAAUAAGCAUCGGCUAACUCCGUGCCAGCAGCCGCGGUAAUACGGGGGAUGCAAGCGUUAUCCGGAAUCAUUGGGCGUAAAGCGCCUGUAGGUUGUUUAAUAAGUCUGUUGUUAAAGACUAGGGCUUAACCCUAGAAAAGCAAUGGAAACUACUAGACUAGAGUAUGGCAGGGGUAGAGGGAAUUUCUAGUGUAGCGGUGAAAUGCGUAGAUAUUAGAAAGAACACCGGUGGCGAAAGCGCUCUACUGGACCAUUACUGACACUCAGAGGCGAAAGCUAGGGUAGCAAAAGGGAUUAGAUACCCCUGUAGUCCUAGCCGUAAACGAUGGAUACUACAUGUUGUGCAUUAUGUACAGUAUGGUAGCUAACGCGUUAAGUAUNCCCNCCUGGGGAGUACGCUC